rnacentral:rRNA from 1 species
CAGCCGCCGCGGUAAUACGGAGGGGGCUAGCGUUGUUCGGAAUUACUGGGCGUAAAGCGCACGUAGGCGGUUAUUCAAGUCAGAGGUGAAAGCCCGGGGCUCAACCCCGGAACUGCCUUUGAAACUAGAUGACUAGAAUCUUGGAGAGGCGAGUGGAAUUCCGAGUGUAGAGGUGAAAUUCGUAGAUAUUCGGAAGAACACCAGUGGCGAAGGCGACUCGCUGGACAAGUAUUGACGCUGAGGUGCGAAAGCGUGGGGAGCAAACAGGAUUAGAUACCCCGGUAGUCCCUGUCUCUUAUAC